rnacentral:rRNA from 1 species
UAGCAUAUCAAUAAGCGGAGGAAAAGAAACCAACAGGGAUUGCCUUAGUAACGGCGAGUGAAGCGGCAAUAGCUCAAAUUUGAAAGCUGGCCCCUUCGGGGUCCGCGUUGUAAUUUGUAGAGGAUGAUUCGGCGAGGGCUCCCGUCUAAGUCCCUUGGAACAGGGCGUCAUAGAGGGUGAGAAUCCCGUAUGUGAUGGGCUGCCUUAGCCAUGUGAAUCUCCUUCGACGAGUCGAGUUGUUUGGGAAUGCAGCUCUAAAUGGGAGGUAAAUUUCUUCUAAAGCUAAAUACCGGCCAGAGACCGAUAGCGCACAAGUAGAGUGAUCGAAAGAUGAAAAGCACUUUGGAAAGAGAGUUAAAAAGUACGUGAAAUUGUUGAAAGGGAAGCGCUUGCAGCCAGACUUGUCCGCAGUUGCUCAGCUUGUCUCCUGACAGGCGUACUCUUCUGCGGCCAGGCCAGCAUCAGUUCGGGCGGUCGGAUAAAGACCUAGGGAAUGUAGCUCCUCUCGGGGAGUGUUAUAGCCCUGGGUGCAAUGCGGCCAGCCUGGACUGAGGAUCUCGCUUCGGCUAGGAUGCUGGCGUAAUGGCUGUAAGCGGCCCGUCUUGAAACACGGACCAAGGAGUCUAACAUCUAUGCGAGUGUUUGGGUGUCAAACCCAUGCGCGUAAUGAAAGUGAACGGAGGUGGGAACCCUCACGGGUGCACCAUCGACCGAUCCUGAUGUCUUCGGAUGGAUUUGAGUAAGAGCAUAGCUGUUGGGACCCGAAAGAUGGUGAACUAUGCCUGAAUAGGGUGAAGCCAGAGGAAACUCUGGUGGAGGCUCGCAGCGGUUCUGACGUGCAAAUCGAUCGUCAAAUUUGGGUAUAGGGGCGAAAGACUAAUCGAACCAUCUAGUAGCUGGUUCCUGCCGA